GUGGGGAAUAUUGGGCAAUGGGCGAAAGCCUGACCCAGCAACGCCGCGUGAGGGAAGAAGGCCUUCGGGUUGUAAACCUCUGUCCUUGGUGACGAAAAAAAUGACGGUAGCCAAGGAGGAAGCCCCGGCUAACUACGUGCCAGCAGCCGCGGUAAUACGUAGGGGGCGAGCGUUGUCCGGAAUUACUGGGCGUAAAGGGUGCGUAGGUGGCCUUUUAAGUUGGAUGUGAAAUCCCCGGGCUUAACUUGGGUGGUGCAUCUAAUACUGGAGGGCUAGAGUGCAGGAGAGGGAAGCGGAAUUCCUAGUGUAGCGGUGAAAUGCGUAGAUAUUAGGAGGAACACCAGUGGCGAAGGCGGCUUUCUGGACUGUAACUGACACUGAGGCACGAAAGCGUGGGGAGCAAACAGGAUUAGAUACCCUAGUAGUCC
rnacentral:rRNA from 1 species